GGGUUGUGAGGUUAAGCGACUAAGCGUACACGGUGGAUGCCCUGGCAGUCAGAGGCGAUGAAGGACGUGCUAAUCUGCGAAAAGCGUCGGUAAGGUGAUAUGAACCGUUAUAACCGGCGAUGUCCGAAUGGGGAAACCCAGUGCAAUUCGUUGCACUAUCGUUAACUGAAUACAUAGGUUAACGAGGCGAACCGGGGGAACUGAAACAUCUAAGUACCCCGAGGAAAAGAAAUCAACCGAGAUUCCCCCAGUAGCGGCGAGCGAACGGGGAGCAGCCCAGAGUCUGAAUCAGCUUGUGUGUUAGUGGAACGGUCUGGAAAGUCCGACGGUACAGGGUGAUAGUCCCGUACACCAAAAUGCACAGGUUGUGAACUCGAAGAGUAGGGCGGGACACGUGGUAUCCUGUCUGAAUAUGGGGGGACCAUCCUCCAAGGCUAAAUACUCCUGACUGACCGAUAGUGAACCAGUACCGUGAGGGAAAGGCGAAAAGAACCCCGGCGAGGGGAGUGAAAAAGAACCUGAAACCGUGUACGUACAAGCAGUGGGAGCACCUUCGGGUGUGACUGCGUACCUUUUGUAUAAUGGGUCAGCGACUUAUAUUCUGUAGCAAGGUUAACCGUAUAGGGGAGCCGCAGGGAAACCGAGUCUUAACUGGGCGUUAAGUUGCAGGGUAUAGACCCGAAACCCGGUGAUCUAGCCAUGGGCAGGUUGAAGGUUGGGUAACACUAACUGGAGGACCGAACCGACUAAUGUUGAAAAAUUAGCGGAUGACUUGUGGCUGGGGGUGAAAGGCCAAUCAAACCGGGAGAUAGCUGGUUCUCCCCGAAAGCUAUUUAGGUAGCGCCUCGUGAACUCAUCUUCGGGGGUAGAGCACUGUUUCGGCUAGGGGGUCAUCCCGACUUACCAACCCGAUGCAAACUACGAAUACCGAAGAAUGUUAUCACGGGAGACACACGGCGGGUGCUAACGUCCGUCGUGAAGAGGGAAACAACCCAGACCGCCAGCUAAGGUCCCAAAGUCAUGGUUAAGUGGGAAACGAUGUGGGAAGGCACAGACAGCCAGGAUGUUGGCUUAGAAGCAGCCAUCAUUUAAAGAAAGCGUAAUAGCUCACUGGUCGAGUCGGCCUGCGCGGAAGAUGUAACGGGGCUAAACCAUGCACCGAAGCUGCGGCAGCGACACUAUGUGUUGUUGGGUAGGGGAGCGUUCUGUAAGCCUGCGAAGGUGACCUGUGAGGGUUGCUGGAGGUAUCAGAAGUGCGAAUGCUGACAUAAGUAACGAUAAAGCGGGUGAAAAGCCCGCUCGCCGGAAGACCAAGGGUUCCUGUCCAACGUUAAUCGGGGCAGGGUGAGUCGACCCCUAAGGCGAGGCCGAAAGGCGUAGUCGAUGGGAAACAGGUUAAUAUUCCUGUACUUGGUGUUACUGCGAAGGGGGGACGGAGAAGGCUAUGUUAGCCGGGCGACGGUUGUCCCGGUUUAAGCAUGUAGGCUGGUUAUCCAGGCAAAUCCGGAUAAUCAAGGCUGAGGUGUGAUGACGAGGCACUACGGUGCUGAAGUAACAAAUGCCCUGCUUCCAGGAAAAGCCUCUAAGCAUCAGGUAACAUCAAAUCGUACCCCAAACCGACACAGGUGGUCAGGUAGAGAAUACCAAGGCGCUUGAGAGAACUCGGGUGAAGGAACUAGGCAAAAUGGUGCCGUAACUUCGGGAGAAGGCACGCUGGUGUGUAGGUGAAGCCCCUGCGGGUGGAGCUGAGACCAGUCGAAGAUACCAGCUGGCUGCAACUGUUUAUUAAAAACACAGCACUGUGCAAACACGAAAGUGGACGUAUACGGUGUGACGCCUGCCCGGUGCCGGAAGGUUAAUUGAUGGGGUUAUCCGUAAGGAGAAGCUCUUGAUCGAAGCCCCGGUAAACGGCGGCCGUAACUAUAACGGUCCUAAGGUAGCGAAAUUCCUUGUCGGGUAAGUUCCGACCUGCACGAAUGGCGUAAUGAUGGCCAGGCUGUCUCCACCCGAGACUCAGUGAAAUUGAACUCGCUGUGAAGAUGCAGUGUACCCGCGGCAAGACGGAAAGACCCCGUGAACCUUUACUAUAGCUUGACACUGAACAUUGAGCCUUGAUGUGUAGGAUAGGUGGGAGGCUUUGAAGCGUGGACGCCAGUCUGCGUGGAGCCAACCUUGAAAUACCACCCUUUAAUGUUUGAUGUUCUAACGUUGGCCCCUUACCGGGGUUGCGGACAGUGUCUGGUGGGUAGUUUGACUGGGGCGGUCUCCUCCCAAAGCGUAACGGAGGAGCACGAAGGUUAGCUAAUCCUGGUCGGACAUCAGGAGGUUAGUGCAAUGGCAUAAGCUAGCUUGACUGCGAGCGUGACGGCGCGAGCAGGUGCGAAAGCAGGUCAUAGUGAUCCGGUGGUUCUGAAUGGAAGGGCCAUCGCUCAACGGAUAAAAGGUACUCCGGGGAUAACAGGCUGAUACCGCCCAAGAGUUCAUAUCGACGGCGGUGUUUGGCACCUCGAUGUCGGCUCAUCACAUCCUGGGGCUGAAGUAGGUCCCAAGGGUAUGGCUGUUCGCCAUUUAAAGUGGUACGCGAGCUGGGUUUAGAACGUCGUGAGACAGUUCGGUCCCUAUCUGCCGUGGGCGCUGGAGAAUUGAGGGGGGCUGCUCCUAGUACGAGAGGACCGGAGUGGACGCAUCACUGGUGUUCGGGUUGUCAUGCCAAUGGCACUGCCCGGUAGCUAAAUGCGGAAGAGAUAAGUGCUGAAAGCAUCUAAGCACGAAACUUGCCCCGAGAUGAGUUCUCCCUGAGACUUUAAGUCUCCUGAAGGAACGUUGAAGACGACGACGUUGAUAGGCCGGGUGUGUAAGCGCAGCGAUGCGUUGAGCUAACCGGUACUAAUGAACCGUGAGGCUUAACCUUACAACGCCGAAG
rnacentral:rRNA from 2 species